ensembl:snoRNA
AUCCUUUUGUAGCUCAUGAGCAUGAUGACUGGGUGUUCAAACACGUGUGAGAGAUGUGCCACCCUUGAACCUUGUUAUGACAUUGGCACAUUACCUGUCUAACC